UCUGGUUGAUCCUGCCAGUAGUCAUAUGCUUCUCAAAGAUUAAGCCAUGCAUGUCUAAGUAUAAAUAGUAUACAGUGAAACUGCGAAUGGCUCAUUAAAACAGUUAUAGUUUAUUUGAUAAUUGACAAUUACAUGGAUAACCGUGGUAAUUCUAGAGCUAAUACAUGCUUAAACGCCCGACUUUAUGGAAGGGUGGUAUUUAUUAGACUGAAGCCAAUAUUCCUUGUGUCUAUUGCGGUGAUUCAUAAUAACUGAUCGAAUCUCUUUUUGAGAUAAAUCAUUCAAGUUUCUGCCCUAUCAGCUUUCGAUGGUAGUGUAUUGGACUACCAUGGCAGUAACGGGUAACGAAGAAUUAGGGUUCGAUUUCGGAGAGGGAGCAUGAGAAACGGCUACCACAUCUAAGGAAGGCAGCAGGCGCGUAAAUUACCCAAUCCUGACUCAGGGAGGUAGUGACAAGAAAUAGCAAACCGGGAACCUCAUGGUUUCACGGUAUUGCAAUGAGAACAAUUUAAAACCCUUAGCGAGAAUCAAGUGGAGGACAAGUCUGGUGCCAGCACCCGCGGUAAUUCCAGCUCCACUAGCGUAUAUUAAAGUUGUUGCAGUUAAAAAGCUCGUAGUUGAACCUCUGUCUGGGGCUAGUUUUGGCUUUGGUCAGGCUAGUUCUAGGCAUCCGCCUACAAGACUUAGAGGGCAUUCAGUUGUUCACUAGGAGGAGUAGGCAUUUUACUUUGAAAAAAUUAGAGUGUUUAAGGCAGGCAAUCGCCCGCAUAUAUUAGCAUGGAAUAAUAGAAUAGGACACUUUUCCAUUUCGUUGGUUAUUGGAAUCGUGUAAUGAUUAAUAGGGACAGUUGUGGGCAUUUGUAUUUAAUUGUCAGAGGUGAAAUUCUUGGAUUUAUUAAAGACAAACUAACGCGGAAGCAUUUGCCAAGGAUGUUUUCAUUAAUCAAGAACGAAAGUUAGGGGAUCAAAGACGAUCAGAUACCGUCCUAGUCUUAACUAUAAACUAUUCCGACUCAAUGUUUGACUGGCUUAUAUAACCAGUUGAGCGUUGUAUGAGAAAUCAAAGUCUUUAGGUUCUGGGGGGAGUAUGGUUGCAAAGCUGAAACUUAAAGGAAUUGACGGAAGAGCACAACCAGGAGUGGAUUCUGCGGCUUAAUUUGACUCAACACGGGGAAACUUACCAGGUUAAAACAAUAGUGGGAUUGACAGUUUGAGAGCGCUUUCUUGAUUGGUUGGGUGGUGGUGCAUGGCCGUUCUUAGUUGGUGGAGUGAUUUGUCUGCUUAAUUGCGUUAACGAACGAGACCUUAACCUGCUUACUAGACUGGCGAUCAUCAAUCGUUAGCUCUUCUUAGAGGGUCUUUGGUUGUUUUAACU
rnacentral:rRNA from 1 species